UACGAAGGGGGCUAGCGUUGUUCGGAAUCACUGGGCGUAAAGGGCGCGUAGGCGGCGUCGCAAGUCGGCUGUGAAAGCCCGGGGCUCAACUCCGGAGGUGCAGCCGAGACUGCGGUGCUCGAGGCCGGAAGAGGAGAGUGGAAUUCCUGGUGUAGCGGUGAAAUGCGCAGAUAUCAGGAAGAACACCUAUGGCGAAGGCAGCUCUCUGGGACGGUACUGACGCUGAGACGCGAAAGCGUGGGGAGCGAACAGG
rnacentral:rRNA from 1 species